rnacentral:rRNA from 1 species
UACGUAGGUGGCAAGCGUUACCCGGAUUUAUUGGGCGUAAAGAGAACGCAGGCGGUCUUUUAAGUCUGAUGUGAAAGCCUUCGGCUUAACCGGAGUAGUGCAUUGGAAACUGGGAGACUUGAGUGCAGAAGAGGAGAGUGGAACUCCAUGUGUAGCGGUGAAAUGCGUAGAUAUAUGGAAGAACACCAGUGGCGAAAGCGGCUCUCUGGUCUGUAACUGACGCUGAGGUUCGAAAGCGUGGGUAGCAAACAGG